CCGAAGCAGAGAAACGGGGUGCUCGAGCUGGUCCCACCGCAGCUGUCCGGAUCCUUUUGGAGGCACCUGUUUUCUUUCAUUUUUUUUCAACAAAAAAACCUGGAUUUGGUGCGUCCCGCCAUCAUCUCUGGAAAAAUUGGGGCAAAACCCUGGAAAAUCGGGACAGUUGCUUCACAUCCAGUGGUUUCGGCUCUGUUUUUUGCACCUGGGAAAGGCCAAAACUGCCCAGAAACGCCCCAAAAUGGGGCCAAGAAAGGAAAAUGGAGACUUUGGGGGUUUCCGGUGGUGUCACAGCGCCUCCAGGGCGGGUUUUGUCCCCUUUUCGCGCUGUCUUAAUGCGUCACCCGGACAUCAUCGGGCUAAUUGGCGUCUCGUGGCUGAAUUAAUGUGUAAUUAAUUGUGCCUAAGGCUGAGGCUGCAAAUUAUGAGCUCGUCGGCACUAACGAGUGGCGCCCGGGGAGGGGGGAAUCCUAUUUCAGGUUGUUGCCUCCAGGAUCGGCAUUAUUUUGCCUUAAAAUGCGCUGUUUACUGACAAAUAUUUAUAUUUUAGCAGGAACGAUGCCGGGAUCGUUUGUCGCUGUGACUGUUGCUUUGGUUUGGCGGCGGCGCCACGUUUCUGGGCAGAAACAUCUCCAAAACGGGAACGCAACUCAUUUAACUCUUCUCACCUCUUUCUGGGCCGAUACCCUCGUUUUCCCGGCUUUGCGGCAAAAGCCGGCGGCAGAAGCGGAGCCUGGCUGUGGAUCCCGUGCGGAGCCGACCUUCCCUAAGGGGCCACCGGGAAAAAGCCGUAUUCGGAGUGAGAGGA
rnacentral:lncRNA from 1 species